rnacentral:rRNA from 1 species
ACCCAGGCUAAUACCGCAUACGUCCUACGGGAGAAAGCAGGGGAUCUUCGGACCUUGCGCUAUCGGAUGAGUCUAUGUCGGAUUAGCUUGUUGGUGAGGUAAUGGCUCACCAAGGCGACGAUCCGUAGCUGGUCUGAGAGGAUGAUCAGCCACAUCGGGACUGAGACACGGCCCGAACUCCUACGGGAGGCAGCAGUGGGGAAUAUUGGACAAUGGGCGAAAGCCUGAUCCAGCCAUGCCGCGUGUGUGAAGAAGGCCUUCGGGUUGUAAAGCACUUUCAGUGGGGAAGAAAGCCUUGGGGCUAAUACCCUCGAGGAAGGACAUCACCCACAGAAGAAGCACCGGCUAACUCCGUGCCAGCAGCCGCGGUAAUACGGAGGGUGCGAGCGUUAAUCGGAAUUACUGGGCGUAAAGCGCGCGUAGGCGGUCUGAUAAGCCGGUUGUGAAAGCCCCGGGCUCAACCUGGGAACGGCAUCCGGAACUGUCAGGCUAGAGUGCAGGAGAGGAAGGUAGAAUUCCCGGUGUAGCGGUGAAAUGCGUAGAGAUCGGGAGGAAUACCAGUGGCGAAGGCGGCCUUCUGGACUGACACUGACGCUGAGGUGCGAAAGCGUGGGUAGCAAACAGGAUUAGAUACCCUGGUAGUCCACGCCGUAAACGAUGUCGACUAGCCGUUGGGCUCCUUGAGAGCUUUGUGGCGCAGUUAACGCGAUAAGUCGACCGCCUGGGGAGUACGGCCGCAAGGUUAAAACUCAAAUGAAUUGACGGGGGCCCGCACAAGCGGUGGAGCAUGUGGUUUAAUUCGAUGCAACGCGAAGAACCUUACCUACCCUUGACAUCGUGCGAACUUUCCAGAGAUGGAUUGGUGCCUUCGGGAACGCACAGACAGGUGCUGCAUGGCUGUCGUCAGCUCGUGUUGUGAAAUGUUGGGUUAAGUCCCGUAACGAGCGCAACCCUUGUCCUUAUUUGCCAGCGAGUAAUGUCGGGAACUCUAAGGAGACUGCCGGUGACAAACCGGAGGAAGGUGGGGACGACGUCAAGUCAUCAUGGCCCUUACGGGUAGGGCUACACACGUGCUACAAUGGCCGGUACAAAGGGUUGCGAAGCCGCGAGGUGGAGCUAAUCCCGAAAAGCUGGUCUCAGUCCGGAUCGGAGUCUGCAACUCGACUCCGUGAAGUCGGAAUCGCUAGUAAUCGUGAAUCAGAAUGUCACGGUGAAUACGUUCCCGGGCCUUGUACACACCGCCCGUCACACCAUGGGAGUGGACUGCACCAGAAGUGGUUAGCCUAACUUCG